CCUACGGGAGGCAGCAGUGAGGAAUAUUGGUCAAUGGCCGGAAGGCUGAACCAGCCAUGCCGCGUGAAGGUCAGUGCCCUAUGGGCGUUAAACUUCUUUUGUGCGGGAGCAAUAAUGGUCACGUGUGGCCAGACGAGAGUACCGUACGAAUAAGCAUCGGCUAACUCCGGGCCAGCAGCCGCGGGAAUACGGGGGAUGCAAGCGUUAUCCGGAUUUAUUGGGUUUAAAGGGUGCGUAGGCUGUGAGGUAAGUCAGCGGUGAAAUGCCCCCGCUCAACGGGGUGAAGUGCCAUUGAUACUGCCUGGCUGGAAUGCGGAUGCCGUGGGAGGAAUGUGUGGUGUAGCGGUGAAAUGCAUAGAUAUCACACAGAACACCGAUUGCGAAGGCAUCUCACGAAUCCGCGAUUGACGCUGAUGCACGAAAGCGUGGGUAUCAAACAGGAUUAGAUACCCCAGUAGUC
rnacentral:rRNA from 1 species